GUGUGGGCGGAACUGGGUUUGGGGAUUAGUAAACAAAGCUAAAUUAGAACAGCCGCUCCUGCAGGGCCAACCUGGAUAUCCGGGCUUUGAUUUCUACUGCUUAUCCUGGCCUCAUCAACUCCUUCAGGUGGGUAUACAGCUGAGGACCGUCCCCUGACCCGAACCUGCCCACCUGUUUCUCUCUUUUAUAGAUUACAGCAGGUAGGGGAAGGGCAGACACCCAGGAUGUCCCGAGUCCAGGAAAAGAAUGGCUCAAAGGCUGGUGGCAGGCCGCAGAGUGGACCUGGAAGCAAGAACUGAAGAGAUCUAACCAGCCAGCCCUUCCCUGUCCCUGAGGGCUCCCCCUCCUCAGCACCAGGAGUUCUGGACCAGGGUGAGGGGACAUGCACCCCCCGAAGCCAGCUGCCUGCAUCAGGAACAGAAACUCUUUUGCCAUCCCCAGCUCCUGACUGCCCCUGAGGCUUCUAAGGGCUUUCCAGCUGCAGCUAUACAUUUAUUUCUCCUGUUGGUUCUCGGCUCUCCUGUUGGUGACCCUAGCCCAGAUUUGUCUGGUAAUUGACAGCCACAGUUGCUAGUUUAUCAUCUGGAGCCAGGGAGCCCGCAGCCCAGGAAAUGAUGCUUCUGGAUGAAGACUCUGCCUUCAUCUCGCUCCGUGGGGCCCAGGUGCCUUGGUGG